AUACGGAAGGUCCGGGCGUUAUCCGGAUUUAUUGGGUUUAAAGGGAGCGCAGGCGGAGAUGCAAGCGUGACGUCAAAUUUCGGGGCUCAACCCCGUCUCGCGUCGCGAACUGCGUCCCUUGGUUGCGGGAAGGGGAGGCGGAACUCGGGGUGUAGCGGGGAAAUGCAUAGAUAUCACGAAGAACUCCGAUCGCGAAGGCAGCCUUCCGGCCCGUCAACGACGCUCAUGCUCGAAGGUGCGGGUAUCAAACAGGAUUAGAUACCCUGGUAGUCCGCACAGUAAACGAUGGACACCCGCGGUUUGGCCUGUAUGGCUGAGCCGCCAAGCGAAAGCGUUAAGUGUCCCACCUGGGGAGUACGCCGGCAACGGUGAAACUCAAAUGAAUUGACGGGG
rnacentral:rRNA from 1 species